AGAGUUUGAUCAUGGCUCAGAACGAACGCUGGCGGCGUGGAUAAGACAUGCAAGUCGAACGAGAUUUUCUGUUGUAGCAAUACGAUGGAAAGUCUAGUGGCGAACGGGUGCUUAACACGUGGGCAACCUGCCAUGAAGUGGGGGAUAGCUCGCCGAAAGGCGAAUUAAUACCGCAUGUGAUUAGAAAGGACAUCCUUUCGAAAUUAAAGUCGGGGCAACCUGACGCUUCUUGUGGAGCCCGCGGCCUAUCAGCUAGUUGGUGAGGUAAUGGCUCACCAAGGCUUUGACGGGUAGCUGGUCUGAGAGGACGACCAGCCACACUGGGACUGAGACACGGCCCAGACACCUACGGGUGGCAGCAGUCGAGAAUUUUUGACAAUGGGGGAAACCCUGAUCGAGCGACGCCGCGUGGAGGAUGAAGGUCUUCGGAUUGUAAACUCCUGUCAUUGGGGAACAAUGCGCAAAUAUUAACUGUAUUUGUGUUGAUAGUACCCGAAGAGGAAGAGACGGCUAACUCUGUGCCAGCAGCCGCGGUAAUACAGAGGUCUCAAGCGUUGUUCGGAUUCAUUGGGCGUAAAGGGUGCGUAGGCGGCGCGGUAAGUCGGGUGUGAAAUCUCGGAGCUUAACUCCGAAACUGCAUUCGAUACUGCCGUGCUUGAGGACUGGAGAGGAGACUGGAAUUUACGGUGUAGCGGUGAAAUGCGUAGAUAUCGUAAGGAAGACCAGUGGCGAAGGCGGGUCUCUGGACAGUUCCUGACGCUGAGGCACGAAGGUCAGGGGAGCAAACGGGAUUAGAUACCCCAGUAGUCC
rnacentral:rRNA from 1 species